rnacentral:rRNA from 1 species
GUCUAUGUCCAUACCACCCUGAACGUGCCUGAUUUCAUUUGAUUUCUGAAGCUAAACAGGGUUGGGCCUGUUUACUAUGUGGAUGGAAACA